rnacentral:lncRNA from 1 species
GAAACGAUGUCGGUGUUCGACGCUGCUAUCGUCAACACGGAGCUUUCGAAACCGACGUCGAUCUUCGGUCUCCGGCUAUGGGUCGUCAUCGGAAUCCUACUCGGAUCCCUAAUCGUCAUCGCCCUCUUCCUCCUCUCCCUCUGCCUCACCUCCCGCCGCAAAAACCGCAAACCGCGAGCCGACUUCGCCUCCGCCGCCGUGGCAACGCCGCCGAUUUCGAAGGAGAUUAAGGAGAUCGUUCCGGCGCCGGCGGAGAUCCAGGUGGACAUAGGGAAGAUGGAGCACAGAGUGGUGUUCUCGGAUCGAGUGUCGAGCGGGGAGAGCAGAGGAACGGCGAGUGCGAGCGAGACGGCGUCGUAUUCGGGGAGCGGGAACGUGGGGCCGGAGGUGUCGCAUCUGGGAUGGGGGAGGUGGUAUACUCUGAGGGAGCUCGAGGCGGCCACGAAUGGGCUGUGUGAGGAGAAUGUGAUCGGAGAAGGCGGUUACGGGAUAGUGUAUCGUGGGGUGUUAACCGACGGUACUAAAGUCGCAUCGCGUCGUCAUUGAUUGAUGCAUUUACCCCCAAACCAAAAGCGUUCCUCCAGCACAUCAACAACAACGUCUGCUUACUCGAGAAGGGUAACAACGUCAUUUGAAUAAAAUCACUCUCACCGUCAGACCAUAGAUAUUAUUAUUACAUGGAGACAGAAACUCAAAAGGACAGCUCAUCCCACAGACACAAGUUCACUGGAAACCCCUCUUCUUUAAAUUCCAUUUCCUUUCAUUUAAUUUUAAUUAAUCUCUUCUGUUCUUUUUCCUAGAUUCCGUGAUUUCGAUUCAACACUCGAUGCGGUGACAAUUAUAGAUUUGUUUUUGCGAAGAAACAGGAAACGAUGUCGGUGUUCGACGCUGCUAUCGUCAACACGGAGCUUUCCAAACCGACGUCGAUCUUCGGUCUCCGGCUAUGGGUCGUCAUCGGAAUCUUACUCGGAUCUCUAAUCGUCAUCGCCCUCUUCCUCCUCUCCCUCUGCCUCACCUCCCGCCGCAAAAACCGCAAACCGCGAGCCGACUUCGCCUCCGCCGCCGUGGCAACGCCGCCGAUUUCGAAGGAGAUUAAGGAGAUCGUUCCGGCGCCGGCGGAGAUCCAGGUGGACAUAGGGAAGAUGGAGCACAGAGUGGUGUU